AGUUCAGCCCAGCUCGGCUCGGCUCAGCCCGGCCCAGCCCAGGGCUCCCCGAGGUGCCCAGGUCUCAGCUGUGCCCGCUGCCCCAGCUCACACCCUCUCCAUCUUUAAAGCAAUAAACCUCCAAAUUUCCAGUGACACAAACUUCUGUCCCGAACAGGGUUUGGGCACAAGCGGCUCCUGCCUCGGGAGCUCCACCAGCGCAGCUCUGUGCAGGGGAAAAACCGAUUCUGUUGUGAAUGCAGAGUCAGAACAGCAGAACCAGCCCCAGGUGUGUUACAGCUGCUAACUCUGCAGAGGAAUAUUUAACUGGUGCCUUUCUCCUAUCAGGCAUUAAACUGGGAGAAGCACUGGAAGCUCUGGAGAGGGGAUCCAUUAGUGAGCAGAAAAGAUGAAUCACAGCCAACAGCAGGUACAGCUGGCUCUCACUGAGGCCCCAAAGCCACGGGAAAAGCAAUUUCUCUGCAGGCAGAUGGGGCUGUGCCUCCAUCUCCAGCCAUCCUGGGCUGGUCCUCAGGGCUGCCUUCCUCCUUGCCAGCCUCAGGCUCAGGCCUUUGGAAAGAAGCUGAUCCCCCCCUCACAAGGCACACGUGCAGACAAAUGGUCCAGGAUCUUCACAGAAGGCAUUCAACAUCAGCAUCGGGGGGUUUUUUGGUUUUGGUUUUGGUUUUGGUUUUGGUUUUUUUUUUUGUGGUUGUUGGGGGAUCACUGCCCCAAACUGGCCAAUAUUUUAAAUUUAGUGUCUUACAAUACAAGGAGUAUAUAACUCCAAUUAGAAGAGUAAAGAAGAAAAGUUGUAAUGGGGUCCUGUCCAGUUAACCAGUCCUGUCACUGGUUAACACUCUCAACGUCACUCUCUAAAAGAGUUACUGGUGUAAUUUGUGCCUCUCUCCUGGAUUCAGGGACACUGAACGGGGCUGGUUCCUCCCUCCUGGCCCAGGGCUCGCUCCUUUCUCCUGGCCAGGGAUGCUGAGCAGGGCUGGUGCCUCUCUCCUGCCCAGGGACACAUUGAACAGGGCUGGUUCCCCUCUCCUGGCCAGGGAUGCUGAUCUCCCUGCUGGGCUCAGGGACACUCAGCAGGGCUGGUUCCUCUCUCCUGAAUUCAGGGACACUGAGCAGGGCUGGUUCCCCCCUGCUGCCCCCUGAGAUGCCCCUGCCCCUCACUCCGAGCUGGCUGCAGGCGCUGGCAGAGCAGCUGCUCUCUCACUUUACAUAACAUUUAAUCUUGUGUAACCAAGACCGCUCCCACAGGGUAAACACCGAGUGAGAUCUCUUUUUUCCAGGCACACCACCCUCAUUUUCAGCUUCUCUCUCUCUGUGAGUCAGGCUGGCUCUGCUUGGCCAGCAGCAUGGGCUCAGUCCCAUUGAGUGUGGAGCUCCCAUUGGAGGGAAGGUGAACCCUGCAGUACCAACCAAGAAAUUCUUUUUGGGAUGGGGAGUUUGGAGUUUGUUCUUUGCUCUGGUCAGAUCUCAGAAUUAUCCAAUUGCUGACCAUUUACAGCAAUUCAGUUCAGCUUUCCUUUUUCUGCUGUGCAUUACUGCACUGUGCUGAGGCACUGGGGGUGCUGGGUGUGAGGGCAGAGCUUGAUGUUAAUGAAACAGCUCUCCUUUAAGCACAGAAACGGUUUUUAAUGCAAUUAAAAUAGUGCCACAUUCACUUCUCGAGUAUAAAUGGUAGGGAAGCCAUCAAGGGCACUUAUUUAUGUCUGUGUGGGAUGAAAAGAAUGCUCAUGGAAACCCAAGAAAAGCAUCCUGGCCCACAGGGCUGAGUCACUCUGUCAGCACAUGCUUGCCUUAGCAAUGAACCUGCUCUGAGGAGGCAAAACACAGAAAGCAGAUAUGGAACCUAAGCCCAGCUCUAGUGCGGGUUUGGGCACCCAGCUGGAUUGCAGGGAGACUGAGAUUUUUGCCUUUAUUUUCUUAAAUCUCGCCUGAAGUUUAUUGUGAUUUCUGUUAUUUUAGGGAUUAAAAACAUAAUAUAUUAGCUGUGAUUAAAAAUACAUGUCAACACUUGCUGCA